AUUGAACGCUGGCGGCAUGCCUUACGCAUGCAAGUCGAACGGCAGCGGGCCCUUCGCGGUGCCGGCGAGUGGCGAACGGGUGAGUAAUGCAUCGGAACGUACCCGGGAGAGGGGGAUAACCUGCCGAAAGGCUGGCUAAUACCGCAUGAACUCUGAAGAGCAAAGCGGGGGACCUUCGGGCCUCGCGCUCUCGGAGCGGCCGAAGUCCGAUUAGGCUAGUUGGUGGGGUAAAGGCCCACCAAGGCGACGAUCGGUACCGGGUCUGAGAGGACGAUCCGCCACACUGGAACUGAGACACGGCCCAGACUCCUACGGGAGGCAGCAGUGGGGAAUAUUGGACAAUGGGCGAAAGCCUGAUCCAGCAAUGCCGCGUGGGUGAAGAAGGCCUUCGGGUUGUAAAGCCCUUUAGGCGGGGAAGAAAUGGGUCAGGCGAAUAGCCUGGCCGGAUGACGGUACCAGCAGAAGAAGCACCGGCUAACUACGUG
rnacentral:rRNA from 1 species